CGUGUGGUUUGGUGUUUUUUUCUAAAGUUCACUACUCUCAUUCAUAUCACUUUCCUCUUCUUUUUGGAUUGGAAUGUUCAGUGCACUGAGGUUUUCUUCGGUGUGGACUGCAGAGCAAGGAUGAAGCAACAGUCUACUUUGGGCAAAAUACGGCUCGCGUGCAGUCCUCUCCUCCGGCGACAUCUACCUUGGAUACGAGACAAGGUUCACAUGUUGUGUGUGUGCAGCUCGGCGCACAGCGAGUGCACUUCACUAUUAUGGGAUUUGUUGCUGUUGGGAAUGCGUUUAAUUAUUUGUUGAGAAAUUCAUUUUAAUAUGCA